GGCUAACGCUGGCGGCGUGUCUUAGCCAUGCAAGUCGAGCGGACUUAUGGGGUAACUUAUAAGUCAGCGGCGGACGGCGGAGUAACACGUAGCUAACCUACCCUCUGGACGGGGAUAACCUACCGAAAGGUGGGCUAAUACCCGAUGUAGUCAUCCUGUAUAGGGGUGAUGAAAGGUGGGCUUCUGUUUACAAGCUCAUGCUGGAGGAGGGGGCUGCGGCCUAUCAGGUAGUUGGUAGGGUAAUAGCCUACCAAGCCGAUGACGGGUAGCCGGCCUGAGAGGGUGACCGGCCCGAGGGGCACUGAGAUACGGGUCCCACUCCUACGGGAGGCAGCAGGCUAAGAAAUUUGGGCAAGUGGGGGAAACCCUGACCCAGUGACGCCGCGUGCAGGAAGGAGCCCUUCGGGGUGUAAACUGCUGUCGUGUAGGGAGAAGGGUACUAAGGUGAACAAUCUUAGUACUUGACGGUACUACAGGAGGAAGCCCAGGCUAACCUCGUG
rnacentral:rRNA from 1 species